UUUUAAGAGUUCUUCUCGAAGAGAAACAUACACCUUGGACGUGAUGGCAUCCACAUGAAGAACCAGUCCCUUUGCUUUCUCACCAGGAACGACAUUUUUGCCUACAAACAAGAACAGAUUAUCUCCUGAUGACGGUUCCUGAUUUCCUCCACCUCCUUGAAAUACUGAUUCAGCAGUGAAAAGCUCUCUGCAGCUGAAUCACCAGAGCUGCACUCCGACACCUUCAGACUGAGGAGCACACGCUGCUUCUCCUCGUCGAUGCUCAUCACCUUUGCAAUUACAGUCUGCCCCACCACAAAGUGGUCUUUGGUGUCUGUCACAAACUUGUCACUCAUGCUCUGUGCAGAGGGAACAAAGCGGAGAGGAUUAUUGGACGCAGCUGCUAACUGUCAGACAUUGGCCGAGCUUUCCUGGAGAAGGGUUUGAGUUAAGACUUAAUGAAAACACCAAGUGAAAUUAGCCACAUUAACAAAAAGCAGUCAAUAAAGAUGAAUUAUUGACGUCACAUGAAAUCUC